UUUGGUGUCCAUGGCGGAGUGGUCACACCUGUUCCCAUAUCGAACACAGCAGUUAAGCACUCCAGCGGCGAAAAUACCAGCAAUGGGAAAAUAGCACGAUGCCAAAU
rnacentral:rRNA from 1 species